rnacentral:rRNA from 1 species
UUGGUCUUUGAGUUAAAAUACUUAGAUGUUUUUAUGGGACGAGAAGACCCUAUAGAGUUUGACAAUUUGCUUAUUGAUAUAUUAUUUUAGUUUGUUAUUGUUUAUUUAGUUGGUAGAAUUGUUUUGUUGGGGUGAUGGGAGGAAUAUUUAUUAACUCCUCUUUAUUAUGGUAUAUUCAUAUAUAUUUAUUUUGAUCCAUUAAUUUUGAUUAUAAGAUUAAAUUACCUUAGGGAUAACAGCGUUAUCUUCCUUGAGAGUUCUUAUUGGCGGGGAGGUUUGCGACCUCGAUGUUGGAUUAAGGUGAAUUUUCGGUGCAGGAGCUGAGAUUGAUUAGGUCUGUUCGACCUUUAAAACCUUACAUGAUCUGAGUUCAGACCGGCGUGAGCCAGGUUGGUUUCUAUCUAUUAUAUUAUUUUAUGUCUUAGUACGAGAGGACCGGGCAU